rnacentral:rRNA from 1 species
UACAUGUGGGGCAAGCGUUGUUCGGAAUUACUGGGCAUAAAGGGUGCGUAGGCGGUUUGUUAAGUCACUGGUGAAAGUUUUCGGCCCAACCGGAAAAUUGCCUGUGAUACUGGCGAACCUGAGUGCGUGAGGGGUGGGGGGAACGAGCAGUGUAGCGGUGAAAUGCGUAGAUAUCGGGAGGAACACCAGUGGCGAAGGCGACUACCUGGCCUGUUCUUGACGCUGAGGCGCGAAAGCUAGGGGAGCAAACGGG